UACGUAGGGUGCGAGCGUUGUCCGGAAUUACUGGGCGUAGAGAGCUCGUAGGUGGUUUUGUCGCGUUGUCCGUGAAAACUCACAACUCAAUUGUGGGCGUGCGGGCGAUACGGGCAGACUGGAGUACUGCAGGGGAGACUGGAAUUCCUGGUGUAGCGGUGGAAUGCGCAGAUAUCAGGAGGAACACCGGUGGCGAAGGCGGGUCUCUGGGCAGUAACUGACGCUGAGGAGCGAAAGCGUGGGGAGCGAACAGG
rnacentral:rRNA from 1 species